rnacentral:rRNA from 1 species
CAGUAGCCGCGGUAAUACGUAGGUGGCAAGCGUUGCUCGGAAUGACUGGGCGUAAAGGGCGCGUAGGCGGCGGCCAAAGUCAGGCGUGAAAUUCCCGGGCUCAACCUGGGGGCUGCGUUUGAUACUUGGUUGCUAGAGUGGGGAAGAGGGUCGUGGAAUUCCCAGUGUAGAGGUGAAAUUCGUAGAUAUUGGGAAGAACACCAGUGGCGAAGGCGGCUCACUGGACCGACACUGGCGCUGAGGCGCGAAAGCGUGGGGAGCAAACAGGAUUAGAUACCCGCGUAGUCCCUGUCUCUUAUAC